AGGACGAACGCUGGCGGCGUGCUUAACACAUGCAAGUGGAGCGACGAACCAGGGCUUGCCCUGGGGCAGAGCCGCGAACGGGUGAGUAACACGUGGGUAACCCACCCGAUGACCGGGACAACCCGAGGAAACUCGGGCUAAUACCGGAUGUGCUCUUUGUCCGUGAGGACAACGAGCAAAGGUAGCUUCGGCCUCCGCAUCGGGACGGGCCCGCGGCCCAUUAGCUUGUUGGUGGGGUAAAGCCUACCAAGGCGACGAUGGGUAGCUGGUCUGAGAGGACGAUCAGCCACACUGGGACUGAGACACGGCCCAGACUCCUACGGGAGGCAGCAGUGGGGAAUCUUGCGCAA
rnacentral:rRNA from 1 species